AGAGUUUGAUCCUGGCUCAGAACGAACGCUGGCGGCGCGUCUUAAGCAUGCAAGUCGAGCGGGAUUGGGGAGCUUGCUCCCCAUGAGAGCGGCGGACUGGCGAGGAACGCGUGGGCGACGCGCCCUCCGGAGGGGGACAGCCCGUGGAAACACGGGGUAAUACCCCAUGGCAUGCCCGUCUUGGAGGACGGGCAUCAAAGGAGCUUCGGCUCCGCCGGGGGAGCGGCCCGCGACCCAUCAGCUUGUUGGCGGUGCAAGGGACCACCAAGGCCGCGACGGGUAUCCGGCCUGAGAGGGCGAACGGACGCAUUGGGACUGAGAUACGGCCCAGACUCCUACGGGAGGCAGCAGCUAAGAAUAUUCCGCAAUGGGCGAAAGCCUGACGGAGCGACGCCGCGUGCGCGAUGGAGGCCGGAAGGUUGUAAAGCGCUUUUACGGCGGAGGAAGGAGCGGGGGAGGAAACGCCCCCGCGGCGACGGGACGCCAUGAAUAAGGGGCGGCUAAUUACGUGCCAGCAGCCGCGGUAACACGUAAGCCCCGAGCGUUGUUCGGAAUUAUUGGGCGUAAAGGGCGCGCAGGCGGCCGAGCAAGUCUGGGGUGAAAUCCCGGGGCCCAACCCCGGAACUGCCUUGGAAACUGCCCGGCUGGAGUCGCCGAAGGGAAGCCGGAAUUCCUGGUGUAGGGGUGAAAUCUGUAGAUAUCAGGAAGAACACCGAUGGCGAAGGCAGGCUUCCGGCGGACGACUGACGCUGAGGCGCGAAGGCGCGGGGAGCAAACAGGAUUAGAUACCCUGGUAGUCCGCGCAGUCAACGAUGCACACCGGGCGUCCGGACAUGAGUCUGGGUGCCGUAGCGAACGCGUUAAGUGUGCCGCCUGGGGAGUAUGCCCGCAAGGGUGAAACUCAAAGGAAUUGACGGGGGCCCGCAC
rnacentral:rRNA from 1 species